rnacentral:rRNA from 1 species
GACGAACGCUGGCGGCGUGCUUAACACAUGCAAGUCGAACGGAACGGCCCUGCUUUUUUGGGGUGCUCGAGUGGCGAACGGAUGAGUAACCCGUGAGUAACCUGCCCUUGACUUUGGGAUAACUUCAGGAAACUGGGGCUAAUACCGGAUAGGUGCUCCUGCUGCAUGGUGGGGGUUGGAAAGUUUCGGCGGUUGUGGAUGGACUCGCGGCUUAUCAGCUUGUUGGUGGGGUAGUGGCUUACCAAGGCUUUGACGGGUAGCCGGCCUGAGAGGGUGACCGGCCACAUUGGGACUGAGAUGCGGCCCAGACUCGUACGGUAGGCAGCAGUGGAGAAUAUUGUACAAUGGGCGGAGGCCUGAUGCAACAACGCCGCGUGCGGGAUGACGGCCUUCGGGUUGUAAACCGCUUUCGCCUGUGACGAAGCGUGAGUGACGGUAAUGGGUAAAGAAGCACCGGCUAACUACGUG